ACACUUUACAACAAACGAUCACUUUUCAUCCAACAACAGCUCCACUAAUAACAACAUUUGCUCAAGCAGUGGUUAGGAUGCGGGGUGUCACUAAAGGAAGUAAUGAUGAAAUCAUCAUCUAUAUAGAGAAGUUUUCCCAACUCAUCCAGGCUGAGGUUAAUGGAGCCUUUAAGAUUACAGU